CAACAUGUGGAAGUUCCUGGGGCCAGGGAUGGAGCCUUAACUACAGCAGUAACCCAAGCCAAAGCAGUGACAAUACAGAGUUCUUAACUGCUAGGCCACCGGGAAACUCCUCAAUGUACUUUUUGAGUGUUAUUAAGGAUCACUCUGAUCAUUAAUUUCCCUGAAUUUUAUAUGCAAAAAAAUGUCAGGAGAGGAAAAACUCCGUGUUCUAAUUUUACCAAGGCCAAAAUCAGGCCAGAAACCUGAAGUUGGUGAUUUUACCACUGUAGCAAAAGAGGAGAGUAAGCUAUGUUACUGAUAGGUCCCAUCUAGCUCUCAAAUUCUACACCCUCUUGAAGAAUCUGAAAAUGGACAAUUCACAGGCAAUUCCAUGCCUCCAUGAUGUUUCCUCUGACUGAAAUCUCCCACUUCCCCUUACCCUUUUAGAGAACUCUUAUUAUACCAUCCAUUAAUUAUCCAUCACACCUUACACAAUGCCUUGCACGCAGCAGGUGCUAAGGAUGUGUUUAAAGAUCUGAGUCUACAAAGUUAAAUUAGGUUCUGUAAAGUUUUUGGAUGUACCAUCCGGGAAUUUAGCUUAAUUUGAAGAUGCACAGAGGUCAAACUGCAGCACAAACAAAGCUUUGUCCCAGUCAGAUUCACACACACAGUGCAAAUGUAUUCUGAGCCAUUUGUACAAAAGCUACACAAAGGUAUGGAAAUCCUGUGAAAUUGGAUUGUGAUGAUAAUUAUACAACUACAGAUGUGAGAAAAAAAUAAAUAAAAACAAAACAAAACAAAAAAGCUACGCAAAGGUAUCACUGCUGCAGAUUAUCUAAAUACCAUCUGAGGAUUACCUAACCUACCUCACCUUCCUACCUAAAGCCUCUUUAUCCUGAUCUACUUUGUUCCAUGGCAUUGACAACCUCCAACCAUACUAUGUAACAUACUGAUGUUCAGUGUUCAUGGUCAUUUACCAGAACAUAAGCUUUACUAAUGUAGGAAUUGUUGUCUGUUUUAUUCAUAAAUGAUAUCAGUGCCUACACCAGUGCCUGCACAAUGAAUGAUUUUUUUGGGGUGCCGUACCUGUGGCAUAUGGACAUCCCCAGGCUAGGGGUCGAAUCAGAGCUGCAAAUGCCGGCCUUCACCACAGCCACAGGAAUGCCAGGUCCCAGCCAAGUCUUCUACCUACAUCACAGUGUGAGGCAACACCGGAUCCUUAACCCACUGAGCAAGGCCCGGGAUGAAACUUCGUCCUCAUGGAUGCUAGUCAGGUUCUUAACCCAUUGAGCCACAAUGGGAACUCCUCGUUGGUUUUGUUUGUUGGGAGUAUUUUGUUUGUUUGUUUUGUCUUUUUGCUUUUUCUUGGGCUGCUCCUGUGGCAUAUGGAGAUUCCCAGGCUAGGGGUCUAAUCGGAGCCAAGCCGUAGCCACCGGCCCUACGCCAGAGUCACAGCAACGCUGGAUCAGAACCAAGUCUGCAACCUACACCACAGCUCACGACAACGCCGGAUCCUUAACCCACUGAGCAAGGCCAGGGAUUGAACCCACAACCUCAUGGUUCCUAGUCAGAUUCGUUAACCACUGAACCACGAUGGGAACUCCUGUUGGGGUGCUUUUUGUUGUUGUUGUUGUUUGUCUUUUUAGAGCCAUACCCGUGGCAUAUGGAGGUUCCCAGGCUAGGGGUCCAAUCGGAGCUGAAACCCCCAGGGUACACCAGAGCCACAGAAACACAGGAUCCAAGCGUCUGCAGCCUACACCACAACUCACGGCAACGCCGGGUCCUUAAUCCACUGGUCGAGGGCAGGGAUCAAACCCAUAUCCUCAUGGAUACUAGUCAGGUUCGCUGACUGCCAAGCCAUGACAGGAACUCCUUUUUGUUUUUUAAAAGGCUGAACUCAUGGCAUAUGGAAGUUCCUGGGCUAGUGACUGAAUCUCAGCCACAGCUGUGGCAACAAAGGAUCCUUUAAUCCACUGCAUGAGGCCAGGAAUCAAACCCAUGCCUCUGCAGUCACCCAAGCUACUGCAGUCAGCUUCUUUUCUUUUUUUUUUAGGGCCACACCCAUGGCACAUGGAGGUUCCUGGGCUGGGGGUUGAAUUAGAGCUGUAGCUGCCAGCCUACAUCACAGCCACGCAAGAUCCUCAACCCACUGAGCCGGCCAGGGAUCAAACCUGCAACGUCAUGGUUACUAGUCGGGUUCGUUAACCACCAAGCCAUGAUGGGAACUCCCUCCUUACAAGUAAGCUCCCAAGAACUGGAGGAAAGUGUUUGUAUUUAACUCCUAAACUGCAGCUCUUUUUUUUUCUUUGCUUAUCUGUUGGUACAGAAAUACUAUUCAGGAAAGUAACUACACCAGCAAGGAGAUAAUAACCAAAACUUUGUUCUUUCACUUCUGAUAAUAAAUAUACCUAUGUAUAAGGUCUUCACUUCUGUUUCUAAACUGCUGGUGGAAAAAUCAAAACCAAAAAAAUGUUAGAUUAAAUUUUUGGACUGUCAAGCCCACCAGCAAAAUAUGUUGAGAAUUUACUAAUUGUUACAUGUGACCUGACCGAAAAAUUGUGUUCCAAAUAGUACAGACCCACUAAUGUGCUUAUAUACAGUAGUUAUGGGAAGAUUUUUCUUAUGUAGCUAAUAUGCUUCAGGAGAAAUGAACUUAAACCACCACAUUUCUGUAAGUAUUAAAUACUGAGCCAUGGAAAAGUAGGGUACUAUUGUAUUUUUAUUCAGAAAAUACCACCAAAACUUUCUCUAUUGCCUAGUUUCAGCUAAAUACAGUUCUUCCCUGCUUCAAUCAAUUUUACCUAGGAGUUCCAAGAAACACAGGCCCUUCAGAAGCAGCCAACGACCGCAUCUACAUUGCUAUUUCAAAGACAGCUUCUAACUUUAUGAAGAAACCUAACAUGGGUAAUGUAAAAACUACUCAAGGUGAGAAGAAGCUGCAAGCCCAAAUGCCUGGAUAUCUUGAGUCAAACUAAAAUAGGAAACAAAGACUUCCAAGUUGCUCAGUCAUCUCAUCUAGCACUAUCUAUCUGACAAACUCAGAAUCCACUUCUAGGAUGAGCCUAAGAGAGAGGUUUCACAAGCUCAAACGUGUUAGGCAGGUUGACACAAGCCAGAUGUCUCUGUGCUCACUAGAAAUAUUGGCAAGCUCGCCUGCGGGUUAGCCUUCUGUGAUCACUCAGUUUUGCUUAAACACCCUAAAAAGGAUUAACAUUGGAGAUAUCAGCUUGUGAAAAUAAGGGUUAAAUUCUCAAAAUUCAGGUAUCAAUGUGAUGACAAAAAAUUAUGGGAUGUGGGGGAAAAAAGAAAACUGGAACAGAAAAUAUAAAUGCUAAUUUUCUCCACAACAGUAAAAGACAUAUAGGGUGGGUUUUAAUUCCAAUUUUUUAUUAGCUUUCUAAGCACAGAAGAAACAGAGAUGAAUCACAACAAAGCCUUCAAAAAAGUAAUUCCCCGGGGUGUGAGGUCCUGUUUUAUGAGGACCUGAGGCUUGCCUGCUGCCACCAAACUCCCAUCCAGCCACCCUAUCUUUCUGCCCAUCCACCCUCAACUCGUCUGCAAUAAACGAUAAGGGAAAUAAUGACCAGCACUAAAUGUGACGUUGAGUUGCUAUUUACAAAUGAUUUGCAAAACAACUCCCCAGUGGACCUAAGCAACCCAGGGCACACACCCAGACCCUACUUGGUGGUUGUCUAAAAGGAUAAAGCCUUACUCUUCAGGGGAGCACACCGGCAGGAGGGGGCACCUCGAGAAAGCAAGGCGCUCCAGCCCCCAAGACCCCAGGCUGUCACCAGGGGAUCCUGGCCCACAAGCAGCCUCGUUAAAGUGUUACCUUCACAAGACUUAUCACCCCAACUUUCCACUCCUAAAACCUAAGUGGGAGUGAAAGGGUCCUGGGGUGAAAGGAGCAAGUAGAAAGCUCUAUCUUCUGUGCUCAGAACCUAGAAAAAAGCAAUGGGCAGGGCAGACGGAGACGGCAACCGGCACGCGUCGGAAACAGGCCGUGCAGGAGAGUGGGAGGUCUCUAAGCGUGCAAACACACGCAAGAGAGGAACACGAGCAAAGGCUGUGGUGAUGCAGAAAUGCGGGAGCAGAAAUCGGAUGUGUCGAGUUUGGGGUCGAGGUAGAGAGAGGGGGCUGGAGGAGUCCCUGCGUGCUCGAAGCGGGUUCGGGAGGCGGCGGCCAUCAGGCUCCGCGAGCUCUUGGGUCAGGUUCCCGGAGACCUGCGCGGUGGGGACGCCCGGCGCGAGCAGCGAGAGACAAGGCAGGCGGUGGGGGCCGCGGCCCAGGUCGCCUGAACAAAGCCGGCGCGCGCGGGGUCCGGCUACUCACAACAAGAAGCUCAUGUCGGCCGCGGGGCGGGCUGCGGGCUCGGCGGUCGCGAGGCCUCUGGGCGGCGGCGGCGGCCAGGCCAGGCCAGGAGAGGAAGAGAAGGACGAGGACGAAGAGGAGGCGGGGAGCGCCGGCUGCUCGGCGGCCGCAACUUCUUCGGCUCUGCUAGUUCCAAUGGCAGGCAGAG
rnacentral:lncRNA from 1 species